UACGGAGGGGGGCUAGCGUUGUUCGGAAUUACUGGGCGUAAAGCGCACGUAGGCGGCUUUGUAAGUUAGAGGUGAAAGCCCGGGGCUCAACCCCGGAAUUGCCUUUAAGACUGCAUCGCUAGAAUUGUGGAGAGGUAAGUGGAAUUCCGAGUGUAGAGGUGAAAUUCGUAGAUAUUCGGAAGAACACCAGUGGCGAAGGCACUCUACUGGGCC
rnacentral:rRNA from 1 species